GACCUGGUGGUGUAAUGGUAACACGCCCGUUGUGAAUUGCAAUGCAAUCCUGAGUUAUGCAGGAAUCCCCUGUUCGAUUCGGGGUCAGGUCA